AUGAACGCUAGCUACAGGCUUAACACAUGCAAGUCGAGGGGAAACGAUAUUGGAAGCUUGCUUCCGAUAGGCGUCGACCGGCGCACGGGUGAGUAACGCGUAUCCAACCUGCCCACCACUUGGGGAUAACCUUGCGAAAGUAAGACUAAUACCCAAUGAUAUCUCUAGAAGACAUCUGAAAGAGAUUAAAGAUUUAUCGGUGAUGGAUGGGGAUGCGUCUGAUUAGCUUGUUGGCGGGGUAACGGCCCACCAAGGCGACGAUCAGUAGGGGUUCUGAGAGGAAGGUCCCCCACAUUGGAACUGAGACACGGUCCAAACUCCUACGGGAGGCAGCAGUGAGGAAUAUUGGUCAAUGGGCGAGAGCCUGAACCAGCCAAGUAGCGUGCAGGAUGACGCCCUAUGGGUUGUAAACUGCUUUUAUAAGGGAAUAAAGUGAGCCUCGUGAGGCUUUUUGCAUGUACCUUAUGAAUAAGGACCGGCUAAUUCCGUGCCAGCAGCCGCGGUAAUACGGAAGGUCCGGGCGUUAUCCGGAUUUAUUGGGUUUAAAGGGAGCGUAGGCCGGAGAUUAAGCGUGUUGUGAAAUGUAGACGCUCAACGUCUGCACUGCAGCGCGAACUGGUUUCCUUGAGUACGCACAAAGUGGGCGGAAUUCGUGGUGUAGCGGUGAAAUGCUUAGAUAUCACGAAGAACUCCGAUUGCGAAGGCAGCUCACUGGAGCGCAACUGACGCUGAAGCUCGAAAGUGCGGGUAUCGAACAGGAUUAGAUACCCUGGUAGUCCGCACGGUAAACGAUGGAUGCCCGCUGUUGGUCUGAAUAGGUCAGCGGCCAAGCGAAAGCAUUAAGCAUCCCACCUGGGGGGUACGCCGGCAACGGUGCAACUCAAAGGAAUUGACGGA
rnacentral:rRNA from 1 species